rnacentral:SRP_RNA from 13 species
GCCGGGUGCAGUGGCAUGUGCCUGUAAUCCAAGUCACUGGGAGGCUGAGGUUGGUGGAUCAAGUGAGCUGAGGAGCUCUGGGCUGCAGCACGCUAUGUCGAACGGGUCUCCACGCUAAAUUCGAUAUCGAUAUGGUGUUCCUGGGGGAGCCUGGGACCACCAGGUUGUCUAAGGAGGGGUGAACCGGCCCAGGUCGGAAACGAAGCAGGUCAAAUCCCCCGUGGUGUCCAGUAGGGGGAUAAUACCUGUGAGUAGAUGCUGCAGUGCAGCCUUGGCAAAACAUCGAGACCUAAUCUUUU